AUUGAACGCUGGCGGCAGGCCUAACACAUGCAAGUCGAGCGGAUGAAGGGAGCUUGCUCCUGGAUUCAGCGGCGGACGGGUGUGUAAUGCCUAGGAAUCUGCCUGGUAGUGGGGGAUAACGUCCGGAAACAGGCGCUAAUACCGCAUACGACCUGAGGGAGAAAGAGGGGGAUCUUCGGACCUCACGCUAUCAGAUGAGCCUAGGUCGGACUGGCUAGCUGGUGGGGUAAAGGCCUACCAAGGCGACGAUCCGUAACUGGUCUGAGAGGAUGGUCAGUCACACUGGAACGGAGACACGGACCAGACUCCUACGGGAGGCAGCAGUGGGGAAUAUUGGACAAUGGUGGAAAGUCUGGUCCAGUCAUGCCGCGUGUGUGAAGAAGGUCUUCGGAUUGUAAAGCACGUUAAGUUGGGAGGAAGGGCAGUAGGUUAAUACCUUGCUGGUUUGACGUUACCAACAGAAUAAGCACCGGCUAACUACGUG
rnacentral:rRNA from 1 species